rnacentral:rRNA from 1 species
UACGGAGGGGGCUAGCGUUGUUCGGAAUUACUGGGCGUAAAGCGUACGUAGGCGGCUUUGUAAGUUAGAGGUGAAAGCCCGGGGCUCAACCCCGGAAUUGCCUUUAAGACUGCAUCGCUUGAAUCGCGGAGAGGUGAGUGGAAUUCCGAGUGUAGAGGUGAAAUUCGUAGAUAUUCGGAAGAACACCAGUGGCGAAGGCGGCUCACUGGACGCGUAUUGACGCUGAGGUACGAAAGCGUGGGGAGCAAAC